ensembl:misc_RNA
UGUGUAGAAAUGAACUCUUGACAGAGUUUCAAAGGAAUUAAUAUUUUUGGUAAAAUGUGCUAAUGUAAAGAGUUAGAAGAUUAGCGAUGCAUAAUGAAAGCAGUGCGUUCUUUCUCAUGGAAAUAGGAAUAUAAUAAAUGUCCUGCAGGUGAUUGGGGCCGUGGCAAUUUUAUUGAAGAUUAAAGUUUGAUUGACCUUUGUUAGGGUGAUUAACCCUUCUGAAAUUAAAAGCCAGAGCUGAAUUAUUCUGGCCAAUUUAAAUGCAAA